AUCGCGCUUUGCUGGUUUCCUCAGCAACCAGCGCCAGCAAAGGUGGGAUGGCUUCAGCAGCCAUGGCUGAGGUUCUCCCUGCAGGGAAAUAAAGUGGUUUGGUGUUAUGACAGCUAAUCAUCAUCCUUUUGGACUGACACGUUCCGUUCCCUGUCCAGCUACAGCUCUGAACAGCCCUGGAGGUGCAGUGCAGAGGCAGAACUUGCUCUUCUUUCAGAGAUCAAGUUCACACUGCUUCCACUGGUGCCAAGAUGAGCACAAUUGACUGGUGAGGACUGAUAAAAGCUCCUGAAAAAAAGAAUACAGUACUACAGUAUCACACUAGCUUUCUUCCCAUGGAGGCUCUGAAGGAAUAGGAAUGCAUGGAUCCAUCCCAAAGCUGAGGAUAAGCAAGGACUGCUGUGAGAAGUUUCCUGCACAGGAAAGCCAAGGAAGAGUAAACUGCUGAUAUCAAGCAAAACCCUCAGUUACCUGCAGGGUGAGAGAAGAUAAAAGGGUGAAAUCCUGGCAGAAAGUGAAUUUUCAUCCUAAAUGAUGAAGCCAAAUGAGUUCAGGCUGAUACCACCUGAUAGAAGGUGCAUUCACGAUUUUUUCCCCACCAUCUCACAGUCACUGAUACAAAGAAACAAUAUAUGAGAUAGAUAUAAAUAUCAAAUCCCAAUCAUCUGUACAUGAUACUAUUUUAAAC